AGCGAACGCUGGCGGCAGGCUUAACACAUGCAAGUCGAGUGCCCCGCAAGGGGAGCGGCAGCCGGGUGAGUAACACGUGGGAACGUACCCUUUGGUUCGGAACAACCCAGGGAAACUUGGGCUAAUACCGGAUAAGUCCGCGAGGAGAAAGAUUUAUCGCCGAAGGAUCGGCCCGCGUCUGAUUAGCUAGUUGGUGUGGUAACGGCGCACCAAGGCGACGAUCAGUAGCUGGUCUGAGAGGAUGAUCAGCCACACUGGGACUGAGACACGGCCCAGACUCCUACGGGAGGCAGCAGUGGGGAAUAUUGGACAAUGGGGGCAACCCUGAUCCAGCCAUGCCGCGUGAGUGAUGAAGGCCCUAGGGUUGUAAAGCUCUUUCGGUGGGGAAGAUAAUGACGGUACCCACAGAAGAAGCCCCGGCUAACUUCGUG
rnacentral:rRNA from 1 species